UACGAAGGGGGCUAGCGUUGUUCGGAAUCACUGGGCGUAAAGGGCGCGUAGGCGGCUAUGCUAGUCAGGCGUGAAAGACCCGGGCUCACCCCGUGAAUUGCGCUUGAUACUGUGUGGCUUGAGUCCGGGAGAGGAUGGCGGAAUUCCCAGUGUAGAGGUGAAAUUCGAAGAUAUUGGGAAGUACACCGGUGGCCAAGGCGGUCAUCUGGACCGCUACUGACGCUCAGGCGCUAAAGCGCGGGGAGCUAACAGG
rnacentral:rRNA from 1 species